CCGAGCUCAGAAACAUUAAGCAGCCGUCCAGGGUCACGAAGUGAGGAACGACAGCGGUCUGACGUGUUCCGAACCUCAGAGCCAGACUGCGGAGAAAACGGGCCACAGAAAUGAACUCAGGAGCAGAGGCGUUGGCAGACGACCAGGAUGGAGGGUGAGACAUGCAGCGGACUCCUGGCGAGGUUACCAGCUUGACCCCGGCUAUGGAUCCUGGGCACAUCAUGGCGAACGGUGCACAGGAGGUGCCAACGACGCUAGCUGAAUGGAUGGUUCAGCGGAGGGAUAAAUGAGGGUCCAUUUCGCUGACUUCAGUUGCCCCUUCCAGAGCACCUACCACCACAAUCUAUCACAAAAGCUUCGAGCUAAAAUGUUAUUUCAAUUCAUUACCAACGCUGUCUGCUGACCUCAGCCAGGGGGACCCAUACUUCACAGGGCUGGUGAUGUGCAGGCAGAAGACAACUGAAUUCUCCAUGUCCUUCAGAACCUGGGAGAUAAGGUUUGGGAGCCUUGCUGGGGUGGAGUCAUCCCAGUGCAGCAUCCUCUGCCACUGCAUGUGCCAGGGGUCACCAGGACCCAGCAUCCAAGAGAUUGGAAGACCCUACGAUGGCCCUGUCACCUUCCUCUUCUUCCAUCUCUCAGACCUCCGCUUACACCUCCAACCCCUUCGGUUUCACACACCUCUCAUCACAACUACCUAAGACUCACGCCUUCCCUUGGGCCCCACCAGUAAACAUAAUCAUCAGAAGGAUCUCCCCAAAGCAGGCAGUGAGAGAAAAAUAAUACAGGUCCUUGAUGUCACAGCUAAGGAACGGAAAAGCUGGAUCUGCCAGUGAAGGAAUGGAGAUGCCCCUUGAGUCAGCACCAAAACUCAGAGAGGAAAUAGAGUCCAAGUGCAUGAGGACGGGGGAGGCUAAGCCUCCACACACAUUCCCUCCGUUUUAACCCCUGAAACAAUGGGGGAGGAGUUCAAACCCAAAUGACACGGGGGUGGAAGACAAUGAGCAUGCACGGCAUCACUGUUCCCCAAUUUAUAGUUUUCUUUUCACUCUUCUGUGUUUUCUAGAAUCCCCGUACCAGACUGUACCACUUACAAUAGAAGAAAAAGAAAAAGAUAUUAAUGGACGCAGGGAGGGAAAGGAAUAAAAAAACAGGCACUAGGGACCCGAGCUGACGGCUCACCAUCGCGCCGCCGCAGGGCACACGGGAAGCUGGGUACCGCUUGGCAGGGCUGGGAGAGGUCAGAGUCACAGGACCUGGGCGUGAAGUCAUCUGCAGCGUUCCAUCAGCGAGACCACAGCCAUCGGCUGGGAUAUUUGGAACACACGUACCAUGUUAGGAAUCUCUGGUGACUUGAAAAAUGCACAGGAUGCUGUGGGUAAUGGGUUGGAUUGUGUCCUCCACAAAGGUAUGUCCAAGUCCUCACCGGUGUAACCACGAAUGUGACCUUAUUUGGAAAUAGGGUCUAUGCAGAUGUAACUGGGUGAAGGUCUGAGAGAUGAGAUCAUUCUGGAUUUAGGGUGGGCCCUCAGUGCCAUGACCAGAGUCCCGUAGGAGUAAGGACGGGGAGAUGUGAGGCACAGAGACACACGUAUGGAAGGAGGUCAGAUAAAGAUAGAAGCCAAGAGCGAUCUAAGGUCUACAGGCUAAGCAAUGCCAAGGAUUGCCGGAAGCAACCAGAAGCUAGGAGACAGGCUUGGAUCAAAUUCUCCUUCACGGCCUCUGGAAGGAACCCAUCCUGGUGACGCUCUGACUUUGGGCCUCUGGCCUCCAGGACUGUGAAAAGAAUACAUUCCUGUUAUCUUAAGCUACUGAGAUGAGCGAGGGGUCCUUUGUGGUCACGUAUGGCCACCCUGGGAAACCAACCCACUAGGACAAGCAGAAGCAGCUCCCAGAACUGUUCACAGGAUGGUUUCAGUGACGUAGAAGAACUGGGCGGCAGGCGCGUCUUACUACUUAUACUGAGAGAGAAAACGUCAUUAAAUGCACGAGCCAUCUACCAUUUUAGCACCGAAGAUUUGCAAACAGCAAAACGCUGCUACCUGCGUGAGGGUUCUUACUCACUAGACGUCUGAUCUCCAAAAUAAUCUGGGGAGGUGAGAGCACUGGGGACAGACGUUAUACUAAUGAGCAGCUGGAGGGGGAUCAAGAAAUCGAGCUGGUGGCUGAGUCUGCACACAAAUUUGGGUCUCUUGGUGCAUCUCACCAGCUGCCGUCCAUGUGGCCAUCUCACUUAGCUGCUGUGCACUGAAUUGUGUCGUCCCCACCACCCCCAAAUCCACAUGUUGAAGUCCUAACCCCCAGCACCUCAGGAUGUAGGCGUGGUUGGAGAUGAAGGUCUUUAAGAAGGGAUUAUGUUAAAAUGAUGUCUUUAGCCGGGCCCUACUUGUGUCUAUGCUGACUGGGGUCCUUAUAAAAAGAGGAAAUUGGGGAACACAGGAAAAGAAACACAGCUAGAUGCACACACGUACAGAGGGAAGACCACGCGAGGAAACAGAGAGAAGGUGGCCGUCUGUAAGCCAGGGAGAGAGGCCUCAGAAGAAGCCUGACCGUGAUCCUGGAUGUCUAGUCUCCAGCAUUAGGAAAAUAUAAUUUCUGUUGCUAAGCCUUGCCACCUGGGGUCCUGUGUUAUGGCAGCCCAAGCUAACCACGGCUCUUACGGAGGCUGCAACACAGGUCUUUUUGCCCGUUUUUCCUUUUCCGGUGGCAUCCUCUCGGGACUCAAACAGCAAGCAGCAAAAUGCAUAAUUCCCAGCUACAGGAUUCUUCUACCCCGUGAGGUUAUUUCCAGGCCAACAGUAACAGCCAAGGCUUCUGGAAAAUCCAUCUUCUGCAGAAGGUCCGCCAAGCCCAGUGGGAAGGUGAAGUGGUCAAAGCCACACCUGCUAGACUUUCCAGCCUCCGGUGGUUUCUCAUUUAGAGCCACAGGCCACCGAUGGUGCAGGGUGGGGUUUGGUUUUCUUUUUGGCGGAAAGGGUGGGAGGCUCCUGGCUGGCUCGGUUGGUAGAGCACGCAACUCUUGAUCAUCUCAGAGUCCUGAGUUCAAGCCCCACACUGGGCACAGGGUCUACUUAAAAAAACCAAACCAAAUCAAAUCAAAACCAAACAAACAACCAAACAAACAAAAAAAACCCCCAAAAAAACCAAAAACGAAAAUUAAAAAAUCUCUGUGAUUUCUCUUUCAGGCCAGGGGAUGCUUUGCGACUUUUAGACAGGGGAAGCAAGGCUGCAAGAGGUGGGUGUGAUAGGCUCUGGAAGAGAACAGGGUUCGGACACUGGUUUCAAUCACUCCAGUGCUUUCAAGCAAACCGCUUCCCCAAGUUGAGACUCAGUUUCCGCUGGGUGUGGGUCUAUAAUGUCAAGCACUCAGCACAGUGCCCACCACACAGGAGGUGCUACUUUUUAUGCGUAUUAGUGGAAAGGCUGCAUGGAUUUGGCUCCUUUUUCAAUGGUAUUCGGAGCCCACUGGGUAACCUGGCCUUUCCCCUCUGCGGUGACAGGAGACUGGGGCCGGGUUUUUGCGUGACCUGCACCGUGCAUCUGAAUUUCCAUUCUCGGCCUUUAAAGAUCAACAACCUUCAUACACAAAUUCCAACCUCUGAGGCCUUUCGACAAAUGGGAAGAUGCAGCAAUCCACAGAGCACCCCCUCCACGGCAGCGUGCGCCGGCAGUGAGGUGCGGCCUGCCCUCCCACGUGCACGGGUCCCCCCGGCCGGCCACACCACUGCCCACCUGCUCGGCCUCCGUGCACCUGACUCAAGGUCAAUGUGUCCGUAUGACUCCAGGGGCAGCAAGAAGGGGGCAGGAACCAGGCAGCGGGGGCCGCGUGCACCGCCAUCAAGGCAGCGAAUCCUCACCCGCUUUGCUGAAAGGUGGUGUAGCCGGCGUUCGGAGUUAAUGAUGAGCCCCAUUUAAAGGAGGCAGGUGAACAAGUUGUACUAUUAAGAUUUCCGCCUCAAGACGUCAGCAGUAGCUAUUAAACUGAUCAUGAUCACAAUUACAGCGGAAUUACAGAGCCGCACAGACAGACAGAUGGAUUUUCUUGCAUCUAAGCCCUUUUUGUGUAGCUCACUUAACAAAUCCGGCAGGGCUGUCUGAGUGAGGUCUAGACUGUCGUCCGCCCUUUCAUUGAGGACAAAUAGCAAAGAGAGGCUGGGGGUGUUCCUGAGCUCAGAGCGGCUGACAGGCGGCCAGGGGUGCUUCCCAGAGCCCCCACCCUGCCCAGCACCCGGGGGAGGCCUCCCCACAGAGUCAAGGAAGGAGGAGGCCUACGAGCAAGGAACAGAGAUUUAUUUUUUCUCAGAAAAAUGGAACAAAUUAGCUCCUGCACAUCCUAUCUGAGAUUCGAGGAAAGGUCCCAAUCGUAAGGCUUGGAAAAAAAAAAAAUCACUGAUGCUGCAAUUUCACAGAGCAAAUCAAUACUGCAGCUUAAAUGAGAAUUUAUUGCCUUCAGAAAUGCAGAUGAGGCUAUGCUUGGAGUCUCAGCCUGCCCUCCACCCAGGUCUGCGGACUUCCCAGGGCUCCAGCUGGGUCCUGUUCAGGUAAGGGAGGACUCCGUGCAGACCAAGCCUGGCUCCUCUGGCUGGGGGGACCCGGCUCCGCCACUGCGUUGCCAUAGAAACCACUAUCUGAAC